UGUGCUCAUUCAAACCUCAAUGGAGUCUACUAUAUGGGUGGACAUUACCGGAGUAAGUUCCAAGAUGGAAUUUAUUGGUCAGAAUGGAGGGGCGGGUCUUAUUCACUGAAGCAUGUCGAGAUGAAGAUAAGACCAUCAGAAUAAAAAAAUCGGGUUUGAAAUUGCGAGCUCGAACAUUUUUGAUGGUGUUAAAGAUGCAGUACUGAUAUUUGUACAAAUUGCCGAAUCUGUCCCUUAGUACCUCCUCACGUAUCACUGGAUAGAUGUACUGAGUCUUGUUCAGAGCAGAAAUAUGAAAAUGCCUCAAAAAAGCCGAUUAGUAUCGACGAUGACGUUAUCGAGGACAUUGUUUUUCAUAAAGUAUUUCUCAACUUCUUUGGUCACGUGAUCGUUGUUUGAUCGUUCGUCGUUGACAUUUGUUGAAGAAAACUUUUAUAUGGAGUAAAAAAAUGACACAGCUAAAUUUCAAAAAAUUGUGGGUUUUUAAAUUUGCUACUACUCGGAUUAUAUUUGCUACUAAAAAGUAUUAAA